rnacentral:rRNA from 1 species
GAGCAUAUCAAUAAGCGGAGGAAAAGAAACCAACAGGGAUUGCCCCAGUAACGGCGAGUGAAGCGGCAACAGCUCAAAUUUGAAAUCUGGCCCUCGGGUCCGAGUUGUAAUUUGUAGAGGAUGCUUUUGGUGAGGUGCCUUCCGAGUUCCCUGGAACGGGACGCCAUAGAGGGUGAGAGCCCCGUCUGGUUGGACACCGAGCCUCUGUAAAGCUCCUUCGACGAGUCGAGUAGUUUGGGAAUGCUGCUCUAAAUGGGAGGUAUAUGUCUUCUAAAGCUAAAUACCGGCCAGAGACCGAUAGCGCACAAGUAGAGUGAUCGAAAGAUGAAAAGCACUUUGAAAAGAGGGUUAAAUAGUACGUGAAAUUGUUGAAAGGGAAGCGCUUGUGACCAGACUUGAGCCCGGUUAAUCAUCCAGCCUUCUGGCUGGUGCACUUGGCCGGCUCAGGCCAGCAUCAGUUCGGCGCGGGGGAUAAAGGCUUCGGGAAUGUGGCUCCUCCGGGAGUGUUAUAGCCCGUUGUGUAAUACCCUGUACUGGACUGAGGUUCGCGCAUCUGCAAGGAUGCUGGCGUAAUGGUCAUCAGCGACCCGUCUUGAAACACGGACCAAGGAGUCGUCCUCGUAUGCGAGUGUUCGGGUGUCAAACCCCUACGCGUAAUGAAAGUGAACGCAGGUGAGAGCUUCGGCGCAUCAUCGACCGAUCCUGAUGUUCUCGGACGGAUUUGAGUAAGAGCAUACGGGGCCGGACCCGAAAGAAGGUGAACUAUGCCUGUAUAGGGUGAAGCCAGAGGAAACUCUGGUGGAGGCUCGCAGCGGUUCUGACGUGCAAAUCGAUCGUCAAAUAUGGGCAUGGGGGCGAAAGACUAAUUAAACCUUCUAGUAGCUGGUUUCCGCGAG